GACGAACGCUGGCGGCGUGCCUAAUACAUGCAAGUCGAGCGGACGUUGUUGAAGCUUGCUUCAACAACGUUAGCGGCGGACGGGUGAGUAACACGUGGGCAACCUGCCUUAACGGCUGGGAUAACUCCGGGAAACCGGGGCUAAUACCGGAUAACAUCUAGCACCUCCUGGUGCCAGAUUAAAAGAGGGCCUCUGGCUCUCACGUUAAGACGGGCCCGCGGCGCAGUAGCUAGUUGGAGAGGUAACGGCUCCCCAAGGCGACGAUGCGUAGCCGACCUGAGAGGGUGAUGGGCCACACUGGGACUGGGGCACGGCCCAGACUCCUACGGGAGGCAGCAGUAGGGAAUCUUCCGCAAUGGACGAAAGUCUGACGGAGCAACGCCGCGUGAGUGAUGAAGGGUUUCGGCUCGUAAAGCUCUGUUAUGAGGGAAGAACAAGUGCCGUUCGAAUAGGGCGGCACCUUGACGGUACCUCAUCAGAAAGCCACGGCUAACUACGUGCCAGCCGCCGCCGUAA
rnacentral:rRNA from 1 species